CUGAAGACCAGAAGACAUCUUCCAGAUAAACAGCCAUCAAUCAGACAGCAUCGUCCAACUGUAAGAGCAAAGGAUGAAGAUCCAGAGUAUGUUACUGCUGUUCGCUCUAGUGGGUGUCCUGUUAGCAAGCUCCCUCACUGAAGAUAACUCUGAGGAAGCUCUCCUGCAGGAGGAUGAUGUAAAAGGUGGAAAGGCUGCCUUUUUGGCAAAGUUGGCUGCUCUGAAGACCAGCGCCUCAGAAGAUGAAGCAACAU